rnacentral:rRNA from 1 species
GGUAGGCGGAAUGUGUUGUGUAGCGGUGAAAUGCAUAGAUAUGACACAGAACACCAAUUGCGAAGGCAGCUUACUGGGAUGUAACUGACGCUGAUGCACGAAAGCGUGGGGAUCAAACAGGAUUAGAUACCCUGGUAGUCCACGCAGUAAACGAUGAUUACUAGCUGUUAGCGAUAGAAUGUUAGUGGCUAAGCGAAAGCGAUAAGUAAUCCACCUGGGGAGUACGACCGCAAGGUUGAAACUCAAAGGAAUUGACGGGGGCCCGCACAAGCGGAGGAACAUGUGGUUUAAUUCGAUGAUACGCGAGGAACCUUACCCGGGCUUGAAAUGUACCCGAAUAGACUGGAAACAGUUUAGCCAGCAAUGGCGGGUAUGUAGGUGCUGCAUGGUUGUCGUCAGCUCGUGCCGUGAGGUGUCGGCUUAAGUGCCAUAACGAGCGCAACCCUUAUUGAUAGUUACUAGCAGGUAAAGCUGAGGACUCUAUUGAGACUGCCACCGUAAGGUGCGAGGAAGGUGGGGAUGACGUCAAAUCAGCACGGCCCUUACGUCCGGGGCGACACACGUGUUACAAUGGAUGGUACAGAGGGGAGCUACUUAGUGAUAAGAUGCCAAUCUCAAAAACCAUUCGUAGUUCGGAUCGGAGUCUGCAACUCGACUCCGUGAAGCUGGAUUCGCUAGUAAUCGCGCAUCAGCCAUGGCGCGGUGAAUACGUUCCCGGGCCUUGUACACACCGCCCGUCAAGCCAUGGGAGUUGGGGGUGCCUAAAGAUUGUGACCGCAAGGAACGAUUAAGGGCAAAACCAGUGACUGGGGCUAAGUCGUAACAAGGUAGCCG